rnacentral:lncRNA from 1 species
GAUGCGCACCCGUUCGGUUUGAUUUGAACAGCUUGCUGCUCUAAAUGGCAUGCGGAAGGAGGAUAAUUAAAAAGGCCAGCAUCACUUACUAAGGUCUCUCACUGAAUCUAAAGCCUGUUGAUUUGAGCAGACUGGCUGACUAGGAAGCUCCCAGGAUCUGUGUGUCUAUACCUUUCAAUGCUGGGACUAUAGAUGUUUGGUAUGUCCAGUUUUUUCAAGGAUGUUGGAAAUUUGAACUCAGGUCCUCAUGUUUGUACAGCAAACACUUACUUUACCAAGCCAUCUUCCCAGACUCCAGGGCUCCAUUUAAGUAAAAAGUCUGAAUGGUGCUAAUGGCUAUAGGCUCUGGGAGAUUCACUGCGUGGUAGGAAGCUGCUCUUCAUGGAGAGAAAGGCUGUGAAACAAGAUGCGGGCUCUUUGAUCUUGGUUCUCACAGAGGCUCCCUUGGCCCUUCUGUCCCCUAUGGGGAAUGGGUAGAUACAGUGUUGCUUCAAUGCAAUUGGCAGAAGAGGAUCUGCCUGGCUGUUUCUGGAAACUAGCACUUACUUCUUUAAAGGGUCCACGAGACUAUCUGAACUCACAAGGGAGAGCCAAAGUGCUGGAGGUACCCACAGAAUUCUGGGAAGUGUUACAUGUCAUACCAAGAGAGCACGAACAUUCACUAGUAGCACACUCAAGGAUUCCCAGCACCCUGGGCAUGGCUGAAUGGCUGUAGAAAGACGUGCUAGGGAUUCCUUCAAGUCCUGUUGGUACUCAGCUGUGGAGACUGCUGUGGUCCUUCCUUCUCAAGACCUGGUGUUCGGAGGAACAAGAUUUGAAUAACAGAGGGCUUCUCAGCUACAGACCUUGGAUGGCUGUGUUCCCAGAUGUGACCUUUUCAAGUGAAUUUAGAGCUGUGAACCCAGGAUCAAGAUAAGGAGUCUACGAGUGAAGCCAGGAUCAAGACAAGGAGUCUACAAGUGAUAAACUCUGAAUCCAGGAUCCAGGGUAGUACCCACUGGGGCCUAAGGUGCUGGGUGGACCUGGUUAUGAGCACAGCUUCACCAUACCCCAUUUGGAAGCAGGCUUUAUCCUAGCUGAAAGGAUGUCACAAUGAAUGUUAAUGCCACACCAUUUAUUAGAAAAGCAGGGACACUAUAACUACGUGUCUUCCUUCUAAAUACCCCUGUCUUGAUGAAAGUCUACUUAUUUAGAUUUGACAUUCUUGAAAUAAGCAAUAAAGUGAGGUUUGCCUUCUCACUCUUAAAUCUUGCAAUUGACUUCAGUUCCUACACAAUUAAAUUCCACAGAAACUAGCAAUUCUAAAAUGCUUAGCUGUUUUAGACUGGAUGAGAAACCAGGUGUUUUAGAAGUCCAUAAAUAUGUAUAAUAUAUAUUAUUGUAUGAACUUAUUAUAUGUGUAUAAUAUAUAAUAUGUGUUAUAUAUAGUUUACAUAUUAUAUAUACAUAUAUAAUAUAUAGUAUACACACAUAUAUAUGUUUUCUAUAGAGGAAAGAUGGAUCCCUUUCUAUUCCAUGUCUGUUGUGCAUAUUUUUUUCAGGCUUCAUAGACACAAAACAUCAGUAUGUGUGUGCAUGUAUGCAUAUGUCUAUGUGUUUCUCUGUGCAUAUGUAUGGGUAUAUACCAAGCUUAGAUAUACAUGUAUUUUGGUGUAUGCUUACAUGAAUAUUGUAUAUUGUGUAUAGUGUAUGACCACAUGUAUGUAGUGUGUACUCUGUAUGCAUAUAAGCAUGCAUGUAGAAUGUAUGCAUGUGUGUACUGUGAGACAAGGAAGGUUCUAUAAAAAGUUUCUCCACUACAUAACCCAUCUAUGCUACAAUUUACUGUCUAUUUUACUGAACACAUGCAUGAGGUUGGUCAAAGCUGGUGAGUUCCAUCUUUAUCUGAAUGAAGUUUUAAUUUUUUUUCCUUUUAAAAUUGAAAACCAUGUUUUUAUUCC